rnacentral:rRNA from 1 species
UACGUAGGGUGCGAGCGUUGUCCGGAAUUAUUGGGCGUAAAGGGCUCGUAGGCGGUUUGUCGCGUCGGGAGUGAAAUCCACUGGCUUAACUGGUGGCUUGCUUUCGAUACGGGCAGACUGGAGGUAUGCAGGGGAGAACGGAAUUCCUGGUGUAGCGGUGAAAUGCGCAGAUAUCAGGAGGAACACCGGUGCGAAGGCGGUCUCUGGGCAUGUCCUGACGCUGAGGAGCGAAAGUGUGGG